AGAAAAAAGGAAAAGGUAAGAAGUGGAUGAAAAAUGAAAUCCAGUUGUGUUGACACAGAGAUUGGAACCCUAACCACCCAAAAUUUCAUCAGCACUCUUGAGCAGCGCACCAACCAGCCACUUAUGGUUGUGGGUGCUCGUUUAUUAUUUUAUACUAAUAUCCGAAAAUAUCAGUACAAAUACACAUGUUCUGUGUGGGAGUCGGUGCGUGCUCGAGCACCCAUCCCACACAACGUGGGUCCGCUCCUGCAAGAACCAUCUACCAAACCAAGCUUAUUCGUCCGUAACAAAGCAACACUCAAUAAUGGAAACCAAAUUGAGAAGUUCUCAAUUCCUGUGAGUUGAAAAGAAACUAUUUGUAUGUCACUCACAUCAGAAGAAGAAAGAAACAGUGGAUGAUUAUAGUCAAGUCCACCUACUGCAUUCAAGUUUUCAGAACUUUUCCCUGAAAUGUUUGUGGAGUUUUCUGGAUUGACUCAAAAAUCAUGAGAAACACCACUUCCUUGAGAAGUUUCCAUUUCUUGAAUUGUAGCGAAAGCAAAAUUUUCAGAGAUUUAAACAGGGAAAGAUGCAGAACACAGUUUAAGAGAACUGUGAAAAAAGGAACAAUUUUGGAGAAUUGUUUAGACAGUAAAUGAAUAUGAAGAUCGAUCUUGAUCCAAUAACAAACCAAGAUUCAUCAAUUGCCGCUAGACUCUAAUACCAUGUUACAAUAAGAGAAUUGAGUAACCAAGAUCUUUCAAUCAAACAAUGAGAAUCAUGAAGAACACCUUAGAUAGUUAAUACAAGGGAGAGAAGAGAAGAAG
rnacentral:lncRNA from 1 species